UAAAUCUUUAUCUUUUUUCACAUUAACGAGUGUCAAGUAAGUGAACUACACUUUAUCUAGGUAAGUUGCACAUUAUAUAGGUAAUGUGAAAAAAAUGAAACAUUAACUGAUUUUCCUAGUUAAUCUGAACAUUAGCAGAUAUUCGCACUGUAAUGGUAGCAUGUUUAUCUUUUUUAUAUCUAUAAAAUCAUAAUAAAAAAAACGAGGAAUACAUUUUAUGAUCUUGUUUUAAUUUUCUAACCUCUAAUUACACAUGUUUCAAUUAAAAAAAAUGUACACCAUUAUGGAGACGUGACAUUACCAUAACAAAAACUGUCAAUAAAUAAACACAGAUCAGUUCACCCAAUCAAAGCCAUCUGUACUAUAUCGCAUACAUUUUUGAAACAUAGAGAUAUCGCAUUGCAAUGUAGAGGUUAGUCGUAAGCAGACGAAUCUCAAAGGUUAAAAGUCAUGGGUCACUGCCUGCCUGACCUUUCUGUCAAGCAAUUCAAUCAAAAAACUUUUUCUAACCAGUGGGUUGGGGUGUAUUUACAUAUAAAGGCUUAUAAAUAAAUGUAAGAAAAUCCAUAGCAAUACUGAGCUAGCUAUAGCUCUGAAAGGGGUGAUUGAAGGCUUGCAGGCCACAGAAUUUC